ACCCGCUGAACUUAAGCAUAUCAAUAAGCGGAGGAAAAGAAACCAACAGGGAUUGCCCUAGUAACGGCGAGUGAAGCGGCAACAGCUCAAAUUUGAAAUCUGGCGUCUUUGGCGUCCGAGUUGUAAUUUGCAGAGGGCGCUUCGGCAUUGGCAGCGGUCCAAGUUCCUUGGAACAGGACGUCACAGAGGGUGAGAAUCCCGUACGUGGUCGCUAGCCUUUACCGUGUAAAGCCCCUUCGACGAGUCGAGUUGUUUGGGAAUGCAGCUCUAAAUGGGAGGUAAAUUUCUUCUAAAGCUAAAUACUGGCCAGAGACCGAUAGCGCACAAGUAGAGUGAUCGAAAGAUGAAGAGCACUUUGGAAAGAGAGUUAAAAAGCACGUGAAAUUGUUGAAAGGGAAGCGCUUGCAGCCAGACUUGCCUGUAGUUGCUCAUCCGGGUUUUUACCCGGUGCACUCUUCUAUAGGCAGGCCAGCAUCAGUUUGGGCGGUUGGAUAAAGGUCUCUGUCAUGUACCUCUCUUCGGGGAGAACUUAUAGGGGAGACGACAUGCAACCAGCCCGGACUGAGGUCCGCGCAUCUGCUAGGAUGCUGGCGUAAUGGCUGU
rnacentral:rRNA from 1 species